rnacentral:tRNA from 1 species
AUUUAUAUAGUUUAAUAUAAAAACAUCUCAUUUUCAAUGAGAAAAUAAGAAUCAUCUUUAUAAAUA